UCAGCUUGCACCAUCAUGUCUACAGCCCACACUGUCAUUUCAAAGAAGACUGCCUGUGUAAUAAAACAAGUUCACUCUCCAGAGUUUUCUAGUAGAUUAAAUGAAACAGCAGCUGACGAGCACCGACUGCGAGGUUUUUCCCUUUAAAAAGUGUCAAGUUCCUUCAAAUAUAUGUCCUUAAGGAUUAAAGAAUGAAUAUCAUAUGAAGCUCAUUUGGAAAACUACUAGUGAAAAUGUCUACAAUGAUUACAGAAAACUGAACUUAAAAAAAAAAGCACAGUGAAACUGCUUCCUGUAGGGGGUCUUAGGACCCAAGAAAGGCAAUGGAAACAAAGAAAAAGG